GAUGAACGCUGGCGGCGUGCUUAACACAUGCAAGUCGAACGGCAAGGCCCUACUUUUGUGGGGUGCCUGAUUGCCGAACGCGUGCGUAUCACGUGUGUAUCCUGCCCUUCUCUUUGGGGUAACUUCACGUAACUGGGGCUAAUACCGGAUCGCAUCUCCUGCUCCAUGGUGGGCAUUGGAACUUUUCGGCGGUUGGGGAUGGACUGGCGGCUUAUCAGCUUGUUGGUGGGGUAGUGGCUUACCAAGGCUUUGACGGGUAGCCGGCCUGUGAGGGGGACCGGCCACAGGGGGACUGAGAGACGGCGCAGACGGGUACGGGAGGCAGCAGGGGGGAAUAUUGCACAAUGGGAGGAAGCCUGAGGCAGAAACGCCGGGUGCGGGAUGACGGCCUUCGGGUUGAAAACCGCUGUCGCCUGUGACGAAGCGUGAGUGACGGUAAUGGGUAAAGAAGCACCGGCUAACUACGUG
rnacentral:rRNA from 1 species